AUGUGGCACAACACCGGCAAUACUUUGCCGGUGAUGGUCAACGGCCGGCAGACGGGCAGCAAAAAGGUUCUUGUUCUGCACACCAACAAGAACUUCGACCAGCAGAGGACCAACUGGGUGAUGCACCGGUACCACCUCGGGGACCUGGAGCAAGAGAAGGAGCGCGAGCUGGCCCAGCCCAUGACGACAAUGGGGCACAAAGAUCCAGCAGGUAUCUACUGGCUUCUAGCCCGCCAGCUUUAG
rnacentral:rRNA from 1 species